CGGAGGCCCAACUAAUCAAUGUCAAAUUCGCAAGAUUAAGUGUUCAGGUGGACCGCUUUACUAAUAAAGCUAAUGCGUUCGAUGUUACUAUGGCGUCACAGAUGGGCGACUGCCAGGAAAAUGUGACACAGAUGCAAUAUGAUGUAGAGAUGAUCAAAGAGCGCAUAGAUGACCAUUUAGCUCACCCAGCAGAAGACCCUGCUGCUGUAGCUGCGAUAAAAGAAGAGUUUGCUGAUAUGCAGUUCAACCUAGUUGCUGCAAAUAAUAAUCAAAUGGCACUAGCAGGCGUCCAGGCACAAACUGCUGCAGAU